rnacentral:rRNA from 1 species
UUGUACCUACGGGACGCAGCAGUGAGGAAUAUUGGUCAAUGGUCGGGAGACUGAACCAGCCAAGCCGCGUGAGGGAUGAAGGUACAGAGUAUCGUAAACCUCUUUUGUCAGGGAACAAAGGCGGGGACGUGUCCCCGGAUGAGUGUACCUGAAGAAAAAGCAUCGGCUAACUCCGUGCCAGCAGCCGCGGUAAUACGGAGGAUGCGAUCGUUAUCCGGAUUUAUUGGGUUUAAAGGGGGCGCAGGCGGUCUGUUAAGUCAGCGGUCAAAACCCGGGGCUCAACCCCGGCCCGGCGGUGAAACUGG